CAUUGUGUCUUCGAGUCGUUGAUUUCACACUGCCGAGAAAAGCCUCUAGAUAGAAAAUAGGUGCCCGUACCGCAAACCGACACAGGUAGUCAAGAUGAGAAUUCUAAGGUGAGCGAGCGAACUCUCGUUAAGGAACUCGGCAAAAUGACCCCGUAACUUCGGGAGAAGGGGUGCUCUUUAGGGUUAACGCCCAGAAGAGCCGCAGUGAAUAGGCCCAAGCGACUGUUUAUCAAAAACACAGGUCUCUG
rnacentral:rRNA from 1 species